rnacentral:rRNA from 1 species
UGUCUCCUAUAGCCAACCAAUAAACCUGAUCUCUCAGUACAAAAGCUGAGAUAAACACAUUAGACGAGAAGACCCUGUGGAGCUUUAAGCCCAAGUGUCAACACCAAAACUACCAUUGACACACGCUUUCAGUUGGGGCGACUAUGGAGUAAAACAAAACCUCCACGAUAUUACCACAGCGUAACCUAGACCCACACGUCAACCCAUAAACACCACGACCCAGUCAAACUGAUCAACGAAACAAGUUACCCCAGGGAUAACAGCGCCAUCCUCCCCAAGAGCCCAUAUCGCCAGGAGGGCUUACGACCUCGAUGUUGGAUCAGGACACCCAGGUGGUGCAGCCGCUACCAAAGGUUCGUUUGUUCAACGACUAAUGUCCUACGUGAUCUGA